GGGAAGUUGGCUCAGUGGUAGAGUGUUUGCCUUGCAUGCAUGAGACCCUGGGUUCAAUUCCUCAACACCACA
rnacentral:tRNA from 1 species